rnacentral:rRNA from 1 species
CUUGCUGGAUAUGAAAGUGGCGCACGGGUGCGUAACGCGUAUGCAACCUACCUUUAUCUGGGGGAUAGCCCGGAGAAAUCCGGAUUAAUACCGCAUAAAAUCACAGGAUGGCAUUAUCCAAUGAUCAAACAUUUAUGGGAUGAAGAUGGGCAUGCGUGUCAUUAGCUAGUUGGCGGGGUAACGGCCCACCAAGGCGACGAUGACUAGGGGAUCUGAGAGGAUGGCCCCCCACACUGGUACUGAGACACGGACCAGACUCCUACGGGAGGCAGCAGUAAGGAAUAUUGGUCAAUGGAGGCAACUCUGAACCAGCCAUGCCGCGUGCAGGAAGACUGCCCUAUGGGUUGUAAACUGCUUUUAUCCGGGAAUAAACCUGCUUACGUGUAAGUAGCUGAAUGUACCGGAAGAAUAAGGAUCGGCUAACUCCGUGCCAGCAGCCGCGGUAAUACGGAGGAUCCAAGCGUUAUCCGGAUUUAUUGGGUUUAAAGGGUGCGUAGGCGGCCUGUUAAGUCAGGGGUGAAAGACGGUAGCUCAACUAUCGCAGUGCCCUUGAUACUGAUGGGCUUGAAUGGACUAGAGGUAGGCGGAAUGAGACAAGUAGCGGUGAAAUGCAUAGAUAUGUCUCAGAACACCGAUUGCGAAGGCAGCUUACUAUGGUCUUAUUGACGCUGAGGCACGAAAGCGUGAGGAUCAAACAGGAUUAGAUACCCUGGUAGUCCACGCCCUAAACGAUGAACACUCGCUGUUGGCGAUACACAGUCAGCGGCUAAGCGAAAGCGUUAAGUGUUCCACCUGGGGAGUACGCUCGC